AACGGUCUAUACCUGCGGUACCUGCGGAGGGAUCAUUAUCGAGUGUUACCCCUCCCUAAAAAAGAGGGGAUACCUCCCGUCCUUUGCUAAGGCCCCCUCUAAUUUUUAGGGGGGCUUUUCAAACCUUUCUGCUUCGGCAGGGUUACCCUGCCGGAACACCCUCAAAAUUCUUUGAUUAAAUGGUUCAGUCCGAGCCUCAAAAAUUAAAUGAAAAAACUUUCAGCAACGGAUCUCUAGAUC
rnacentral:misc_RNA from 1 species